GACGAACGCUGGCGGCGUGCUUAACACAUGCAAGUCGAACGGUAAGGCCCUUCGGGGUACGCGAGUGGCGAACGGGUGAGUAACACGUGGGUGAUCUGCCCUGCACUUCGGGAUAAGCCUGGGAAACUGGGUCUAAUACCGGAUAGGACCACUGCCUGCAUGGGUGGUGGUGGAAAGCUUUUGCGGUGUGGGAUGGGCCCGCGGCCUAUCAGCUUGUUGGUGGGGUGAUGGCCUACCAAGGCGACGACGGGUAGCCGGCCUGAGAGGGUGACCGGCCACACUGGGACCGAGAUACGGCCCAGACUCCUACGGGAGGCAGCAGUGGGGAAUAUUGCACAAUGGGCGCAAGCCUGAUGCAGCGACGCCGCGUGAGGGAUGACGGCCUUCGGGUUGUAAACCUCUUUCAGCACCGACGAAGCGCAAGUGACGGUAGGUGCAGAAGAAGGACCGGCCAACUACGUGCCAGCAGCCGCCGUAACAC
rnacentral:rRNA from 1 species